GCAGUAAUGACUUGAGAGCCUACAAGAUCGAACUUGAAUUUCAGAGACGCGGUAUUGAGAGAGAGGCCCGGGUAAAAUACUCUCCCUGUUGUACAGAGAAAAAGAAACCCCGGAACUCGCGCUGGCCGUCGCUAGGGUUUUCUUCAGGUUCAAUGAAAGUUGAAGAAGAAAUAUAGACAGCACAACUUUACUAGCACUCUUGCUCACUCUCCGAAACUGUAUUUUUAUCACUCUGCUUGGAAAGAGGCCUCAUAUGAGAGUAUGGUGGAAAUAGACGGAAUCGAGCACCUUGAAUUCGAGUGGGGUAAAAAGCAAGGAGUUGGAAAGAAAGGAGAAGGUGAAACACAGAAAGAAGUCCAGUUUUAUCAAUCUUUUACUUAUGACGGCAUGGAGUAUGAUCUGUAUGAUACAGUUUAUCUGCACAAUGAUGAUGGACCUGGACCUUAUAUUGGUAAGCUCAUAGAAAUAUGGGAGAAUCCCGACAAGACAAAGGAAGUGGUGGUUUUAUGGUUUUUCCGCCCUUACGAAAUUGAUCUUGAGGUUGAAGGCACAGCAAAAAAUGAGUUGUUUUUGGCUUCGGGAGAAGGUGUAGGCCUUGCAAAUGUUAAUCCUUUGGAAGCAAUUGCUGGAAAAUGUGAUAUUAUUUGUACUUCAAAAGACAGUAGAAAUCCACAACCUUCAGAUGAAGAACUUAAAACUGCUGACUUCAUAUUUUACCGUGCCUUUGACGUUAAGCAUGGUAGAGUUCUGGAUCAGAUAGAGGAAGAAGUUGCUGGGAUUGAGGUGAAAUUUAUAUUUAACAGAGUGGAGGCCCAGGAGCCCAAUGUUGUACUGGAACUUGAUUCAGCCAAGAAAGAAGUUUUCGGAAAUGCUGUAGCAAGUAAUAAAACAGAGUUUCCUCUCAAGAAAAACCCAUCUAAAGAGCACACAACUCAAAAAAGUAAUGUAAUUUCUAUUAAUAGUCUAUGGAAAGAAAAUGCUGAUACAAACACUUCAUUGGUUAAACAGAAAUCUUCACUUAGAGAGCAGCCUGCUUACAGGAUACGUGUGGAGUCAAAAAUUUCUAAAACUAAUGAUAGACAGGAGAACAUUUCCUUAGACAAGUCUGCAUUAAGGUCUGUAGAUUUUCCUAUCAAGGGUGAAGGUCGAGUUGUUAAGAAUCUUGUUAGAAAUGAGGAGAAAUUAAAAUCUUCUCAUGAUUGUAAUGAAUUGGAGGAUAGGCCAUCUGAGAAUGUAAUUUGUGUCAGAAUUGAGGAGAAAGUAAAAUCUAUUCACGACUGUGGUGAAUUGGAUGAUCGACCGUCUAAGAAGGCAAAGUUGGAUUGUUCUGUUAAAGUAUUUGGUGAUAAGAAAGAGAAGAGUGUGCGGAAGUUACCUGUUGAUUUGAGUCGUCAUGAUGCAAGGGGUGUAGGAACUGUAAUUGAUUUUGAGGAUAAAUCUAGGCUUAAACUUGUUAAGGAUUCUCGAGGGGUUGAAAAUGGCCCUUUGAAGAAGUUGAAGCUUGAUGAGAAGACAAAGCCUUUUGAUGGUAAGAAUUUUGUCAAAAGUGAGAAAGGAAAAUCUUCUCGGGAUUGUAGUGAGCUGGAGGAUAGGCCAUCUAAGAAGGCAAAGUUUGAUGGUCCUGUUAAAGUAUUGGGGAAUCAGAACGAGAAGAGAGGGCAAAAGAUAGCCGUUGACUCAGAUCUAAUAGAUGCAAAGGUGUUGCCAGUUGUAACUGCUUGUGAAUAUAAAUAUAGACUUAAACUUGCAAAGGAUUCUCAAGUGGAUGAAAAAGGCUCUUCCAAGAAGUUGAAGCCUGAUGAGAACACAAAACUUUCUAAUGGGAAGUUGCCUCGAGCAUCUCCCAGACAGUUUGCAGACGAAGACAAAAAAUUUGAUCACCAGAUAAUGGAAAUUACUCGAAGACCAGAUGCCGAUAAAAGCAAAUGGUUCAGGGCUAUUCCUUGGGAAGACAGAAUGAAAAGUGCUAAUGAGUUAGGAACACUGGUUCUCCUUCAAAAUUUGGAUCCAGCUUAUACAUCAGCAGAAGUGGAGGAUAUUGUUUGGCACGGCUUCAAGGAAAAUUGCAGAGCAAAGAUGAUUCAGCGGACUUCAAUUUCAAGUCCUCAUUGUGGUCAAGCUUUUGUUAUAUUCAAGACAAGGGAGGCAGCAGAGAUGGUUGUUAAAAAGUUGGACGAGGGCUGCCUUUGGAUAUCAAAUGGGAGGCCUCUUGUUGGAAGUACCGGAACUCCUUGCUUCCCUGAGAAGAAACCAACUUUUUUUGGCCAUUUUGCUAUUGAUAAACUUAGAUAUCAGAUGCCAAGGGAAAUGAGAGAGGCUGUAUCUACUUCACAUUGUUCUCAGCCUAACACAAUUGAAUAUGAUAUGGCCAUGGAAUGGUGCUUACUUCAAGAACGAUCAGACUUCUGUUGGAAACAGUUGUAUAAGCGACAAGGGGAGGAGUUGAAAAUACUCAAGUCCAGCCUCAAGUCCAAUUGAGAAUCAGUGGCUUUGGACUCUUCCUUUUCUUGGAGGCACCCUGAAACAAUGGAAUUUACUUUUGAGCCUUCAUGUAUACCAGAAGCUAUCAAAUUGAUCCCCCGUGUCUAUUUUGUGUCUAUUUGAAGAAGACGGAGUAUGUUAGCAGAGGUCUUGUUUGUGAGUAGUCAGGCAAGUUUUGAGAAUAGGCACUCUCUUCCAUCGCCUCUGUUAUUCAGGCUUCAGUACAUCCCCUUUCUCUCCCAACGAUCCCACACCACAAAGUUAGUUUCAUGCCCGUGACCAACACAGUUCCAGCUCCGACGACGACGAUGAUGACAUUCAUAGGUAUUUCCUCCGUUCCUCAAAACCAGUGUAUACUUGGAUGUUUGGUAUUAAGGCCUCUUCCUGGGAUGAUUUGCAGUAAUGCAUGGGAUUGCUUUGCAAAACUGGGACUAGUGGUUUCGUGUGGCAUUUUACCAUGAGCAAACCAACAUGGGUUUAUGUGGCAUCUACCUUUAAGCAAAAAGAUGCACAUACUGUUGCUGUUUGAAGGAUCUCCAUGGAGUUUGUAAAAAUCCAAUUGUUCCAUUGUCUCUGCAUCUUUCCUAGCAAUCUUAAUCACCAUACCAUAAACAAAAAUAGGAAAAAAAAUGAAACAAGCAAUCCAUGGGGAGCAUCCAAAAUCAAAUGACUCUACCUUCAACCAAGAUCCAAAUUAGAAGAUCCCAAUCUUUUAAAUCCCAGAUAAGCAUACUCUGCUCUACCAAUUUCAAAAAAAUCGAAAUUUCUUGAAUAGCAUGAAUAUGAGCAUAGACCAAAAUCACAAAGAACCCAUG